GACAGGUAGAGGGGUUUUGUCAGGUCCUGAUUACAUGGAAAUGCAAGCUCCGGCCAUCAUUUUCUAACUGUCCUCUGAGACGAGGAGUAAGUGAGGUUUAACUUCUGAUGA
rnacentral:snoRNA from 1 species